UAAGGAAUCUUCCACAAUGGACGAAAGUCUGAUGGAGCAACGCCGCGUGAGUGAAGAAGGGUUUCGGCUCGUAAAACUCUGUUGUUAAAGAAGAACAUAUCUGAGAGUAACUGUUCAGGUAUUGACGGUAUUUAACCAGAAAGCCACGGCUAACUACGUGACAG
rnacentral:rRNA from 1 species